rnacentral:rRNA from 1 species
AUUGAACGCUGGCGGCAUGCCUUACACAUGCAAGUCGAACGGCAGCAUGGAGAGCUUGCUCUCUGAUGGCGAGUGGCGAACGGGUGAGUAAAGCAUCGGAACGUACCGUGUAGUGGGGGAUAACGUAGCGAAAGUUAGGCUAAUACCGCAUACGCACUGAGGUGGAAAGCAGGGGAUCGUAAGACCUUGCGCUAUACGAGCGGCCGAUGUCAGAUUAGCUAGUUGGUAGGGUAAAGGCCUACCAAGGCGACGAUCUGUAGCGGGUCUGAGAGGAUGAUCCGCCUCACUGGGACUGAGACACGGCCCAGACUCCUACGGGAGGCAGCAGUGGGGAAUUUUGGACAAUGGGGGCAACCCUGAUCCAGCCAUGCCGCGUGAGUGAAGAAGGCCUUCGGGUUGUAAAGCUCUUUCGGCCGGGAAGAAAUCGCACAGGCUAAUACCCUGUGUGGAUGACGGUACCGGCAUAAGAAGCACCGGCUAACUACGUGCCAGCCGCCGCCGUAA